GUUUCAGUAAGUUUGUGAGAGGCAGAUAGGUAGGUAAAUCUGCAAUUCUAAGAUGCAAACACUUUGACCUCAGUUUACACGAGUGGGACAGAAGCAUUUAAAAAUUAAACCUCGCUAAUCAAUGAGGUCAGAUAUGCAUAUAUGUAGCAUAUGUUAGAUGAGAGGAGGUGUUUGAGUAUUCAGUUUCGGUCAAUACCAAGAUCAAGGCAGAAAAGGGCAAAUCCAACAGAAUAAUCAGGAAUUCCCAUUAAUACAAUAUACAAUACAUCAAGCUUACAUGUGAAGUUCGAAUCUUUGACU
rnacentral:misc_RNA from 1 species